UACAGAGGUGGCAAGCGUUGUUCGGAAUUACUGGGCGUAAAGGGCGCGUAGGCGGCUUGGUCAGUCCCGUGUGAAAUCCCUCGGCUCAACUGAGGAACUGCACGGGAAACUGCCUGGCUUGAGUUCGGGAGAGGAUAGCGGAAUUCCCAGUGUAGAGGUGAAAUUCGUAGAUAUUGGGAAGAACACCGGUGGCGAAGGCGGCUAUCUGGACCGACAUUGACGCUGAGGCGCGAAAGCGUGGGGAGCAAACAGG
rnacentral:rRNA from 1 species